CACACUGUAACACAGAGAGCAUUGGUAAAUGGCAUUGAACUGUCUGGAAAUAGAAAAAGAGAAGCUGCCAUUUCCAGUAACCUAUAGAAGAUGGAAGAGGAGCAUCUGACUAUCUAAGACCCUCUGGAGAUGGGAUAUAAAAGAAAAAGAGAAGCUGCCAUUUCCAGUAACCUAUAGAAGAUGGAAGAGGAGCAUCUGACUAUCUAAGACCCUCUGGAGAUGGGAUAUAAAGUGAGUAAAGUAACCUCAUAAUAUGAAAAUAAUGACGAGAAAUGUGGCAGGUGCUGCACAGACUGGAGGAAAGAAAAUGGCUUGAGCUCAACGUGAUUGG